rnacentral:tRNA from 1 species
GCUCCUAUAGUCUAGAGGCCAAGGAUGCCACCCUCUCACGGUGGUGACCCGGGUUCGAAUCCCGGUGGGAGCG